GUCGACAAUACUUCAGAGAAUCAUUUCUAUAGUAUUCGACCUACUCUUGGUUCCCUAAAGGAGCUACAGAUCCCACCCUGGUUGAUGAUUGAUAUCCUCGAUACCCUAGAGUGAUAUGCUCUUGGUUGUUCUCGCACCCUCCGCAAGGAGGGCGUGACAGAAGUCUUGCUUCUUGUCUUGUAUAGAGAACGGUGAUGAUCUCGUCCCCUUUCGCGGUCUUGCCCUUGGGCGCGUGUAAGGGGUGGGCAUCGAUGGACGUCUGACAGGC
rnacentral:snoRNA from 1 species